AGAGUUUGAUCCUGGCUCAGGAUGAACGCUGGCGGCGUGCUUAACACAUGCAAGUCGAACGGACUCAUACUGAAACCUAGUGAUUUAUGAGUUAGUGGCGGACGGGUGAGUAACGCGUGGAAAACCUGCCGUAUACCGGGGGAUAACACUUAGAAAUAGGUGCUAAUACCGCAUAAGCGCACAGCUUCGCAUGAGGCAGUGUGAAAAACUCCGGUGGUAUACGAUGGUUCCGCGUCUGAUUAGCUAGUUGGCGGGGUAACGGCCCACCAAGGCAGCGAUCAGUAGCCGGCCUGAGAGGGUGAACGGCCACAUUGGGACUGAGACACGGCCCAAACUCCUACGGGAGGCAGCAGUGGGGAAUAUUGCACAAUGGGGGAAACCCUGAUGCAGCGACGCCGCGUGAGUGAAGAAGUAUUUCGGUACGUAAAGCUCUAUCAGCAGGGAAGAAAAUGACGGUACCUGACCAAGAAGCCCCGGCUAACUACGUGCCAGCAGCCGCGGUAAUACGUAGGGGGCAAGCGUUAUCCGGAUUUACUGGGUGUAAAGGGAGCGUAGACGGCAGCGCAAGUCUGGAGUGAAAUGCCGGGGCCCAACCCCGGAACUGCUUUGGAAACUGUGCAGCUUGAGUGCAGGAGAGGUAAGCGGAAUUCCUAGUGUAGCGGUGAAAUGCGUAGAUAUUAGGAGGAACACCAGUGGCGAAGGCGGCUUACUGGACUGUAACUGACGUUGAGGCUCGAAAGCGUGGGGAGCAAACAGGAUUAGAUACCCUGGUAGUCCACGCCGUAAACGAUGAUUACUAGGUGUCGGGGGACCAAGGUGCUCCGGUGCCGGCGCAAACGCAUUAAGUAAUCCACCUGGGGAGUACGUUCGCAAGAAUGAAACUCAAAGGAAUUGACGG
rnacentral:rRNA from 1 species